GUCGAACGGCAGCGGGGUAGUGCUUGCACUACUGUCCGGCGAGUGGCGAACGGGUGAGUAAUAUAUCGGAACGUACCGAGUAAUGGGGGAUAACCAAUCGAAAGAUUGGCUAAUACCGCAUACGUCCUACGGGAGAAAGCGGGGGAUCGCAAGACCUCGCGUUAUUCGAGCGGCCGAUAACUGAUUAGCUAGUUGGUGGGGUAAAGGCCUACCAAGGCGACGAUCAGUAGCGGGUCUGAGAGGACGAUCCGCCACACUGGGACUGAGACACGGCCCAGACUCCUACGGGAGGCAGCAGUGGGGAAUUUUGGACAAUGGGGGCAACCCUGAUCCAGCCAUGCCGCGUGUAUGAAGAAGGCCUUCGGGUUGUAAAGUACUUUUGUUAGGGAAGAAAAGGGAAGUGCUAAUACCACUUUUUGCUGACGGUACCUAAAGAAUAAGCACCGGCUAACUACGUGCCAGCAGCCGCGGUAAUACGUAGGGUGCGAGCGUUAAUCGGAAUUACUGGGCGUAAAGCGAGCGCAGACGGUUAUUUAAGCAGGAUGUGAAAUCCCCGGGCUUAA
rnacentral:rRNA from 1 species